rnacentral:rRNA from 1 species
UAGGGAAUAUUGCAAAAUGGGCGAAAGCCCGAUGCAGCAACGCCGCGUGGGCGAUGAAGGCCUUCGGGUCGUAAAGCCCUUUUUGAGGGGAUGAGGAAGGACAGUACCCUCAGAAUAAGCCUCGGCUAACUACGUGCCAGCAGCCGCGGUAAAACGUAGGAGGCGAGCGUUAUCCGGAUUUACUGGGCGUAAAGCGCGUGCAGGCGGAUUGGAGAGUUGGAUGUGAAAGCUCCCGGCUUAACUGGGAGAGGUCGUUCAAUACUUCCAGUCUUGAGUGCAGUAGAGGGAAGUGGAAUUCCGGGUGUAGUGGUGAAAUGCGUAGAUAUCCGGAGGAACACCAGUGGCGAAGGCGGCCUUCUGGACUGCAUCUGACGCUCAGACGCGAAAGCUAGGGGAGCAAACG